GGGAUACAUUAAAAUAUAUUUGGAUGCUUAUUUGAAAAAAAAGAAGAAAUAUUUAGUACAUGUGUUUUUCAGUUAUAUGCUGUAUAUGAUCCCUAUGCUGGUUACUUAUCGAUCAUGUUCACCCAGAUACGCAUCCACUUGGGAACGUUCAUCUUUGUGAUGAUGUUUCUUACAGUGUCUCCGUUAUCUAAUCACCAUGCACUUGUGAAAGUAUACGAUCCCGUCAUGCUCAUCUGCAACAGUACAUGUUCGGGUGAUGUUUCAUGGAUGUUCUCGGUGCGGACUGAAAUACUUGUGAGUGAAUGUAAGAGGAGCACUUGUGUUGAAGGCAACGGUUUCGAGAACCGAACGAGGUUUGUGCAUGGAGGACCAUCUCUUCAACUCAACCCUGUCAUGUACAACGACAAGGGCUGGUACGUCUGCUACUGCGACAAAGCCGAGAUAUGCAAAUUUCAUCUUGACGUAGUUUUCGCUACUCUGAAAAGCGUUUGCGUCAGAGAGAAUGUGACUCUCCCCUGCUACGCUAACACAGACAAGCGUAUCCCUGACGAAAACAUCAACGUUCAGUGGGAAAAAGAUGAUCAACCUUUCGUGACGCUUCAGCGCGGGAAGAUGAGCUACGGUCCAGGUUUCGAAGGUCACGGCUUCAUUACGGCGAGCCAGUAUAAAAAUGGAGAUCUGUCCCUGACCAUCCCCAAGGUCCAGCAGUCUGACGGAGGGAUAUAUCGCUGUAGACACAGACACGAGGAACCGGGUCAACCCGAAGCCGUCGAUCUCAGGAUCAGUGAGUCUUCAGAGUGUGGAGCAGUAAAGCAGUCCACUUUUUCCAUGGUGGGGAGUUCUGCUGGUGGUUGUUUCCAUUGUGGUUAUUUUUUGUGCUGUUGGAGUUUUCUACUAAUAUUUUACACAUAUAUUGAAUUGUCGGAAAAUACUACAGCGCUAUAUCGAUGAAGAAAAUUACAUGCUGGGUUAAUCGAAUGGUAAAUCAUAGUUUGGAAGCGCAGGUGGUGCACGUAGAUAAGAUUUCUGAGCAGUUUGCAGAGAGAAGAAAAGAAGAUGAACACCGGAUGAGCAACAGGGCUUGCAACUCUCACAACUUCUACCACUAAUAAGAAAAGGAAGCUGUCACUGUGACAGCUGGAGAGUUGGAAUCACAAAACGAACAGGACUGAAAGUUCAAACAACAGUCUGAACAGAUCGGAGCUGUAAAAUUGGGAAUGAGCAUUGAAUGUAGAAUGAAUUCAUUGUGAGAAUAGAAACCAACUCUGGCUGCAUCUGAAAAAUACAAAAUCCAUGUACUAUUGGGUUUUGACUAGAGAUGCACCGAUGUAUCGGUUAUUUUUCCCGCUACCUGCUUUCGGCCGAUAGUUUAAAAACAUCAGGACCGAUUAUAUCCUGUCAAUCAAAAGAGGGCGGGAAAACUCAUUGAUUUCGUGCUGUGUGUAAAGAUGAUGUCUCUUGUGUGGAAUGAUGACAAAACUGCAGUUUGUAAUCUCUGCUAAAAUUUUACACCAGGAGUGAGCAGCAGAGAAGCCUUCUCGCGUUGAAUUAAAGGGCCAGUACACC
ensembl:lncRNA